GCACAACAUGCCAACACUCGAGGGGCCCACGACAGUUGCUCAAGAGCCAUUUCGGGAAUAGGCUGCUAGGCCCUGGAGACAGUGAGGACUUGAACUGCAGCACUCCUGUCAGACCCCUGGAUGUGGUUCCCCCCGCGUCCCACAGCUAAUGACUAAGCUGGGAACCAAAAGAUGGAAUCUAGAUUCUCCUAAGCCAAGGUUUUUCCCCCAACUAGUGUAUAUCCCAGAAAGCUUGGAAGAGCCAAGUACUGGAGAGAUGGUGACAGCAGGUUGUCAGGUGAUCAGAGGAAGUUUAGGUAGAGGGGAAGGGUGCCCAGGCUUUGACCUAACAUUGUCUCUGUUAUUUCUGUACAGGUAGUUUGAGCUCCCUAAAAGAGGAAGGUGGACUCUACAGGGACAAACAGUUGGAUGCUGCAAUAGCAUGGCAGGGGAAACUCACCACACACAAAGAGGAACUCUAUCCCAAGAACCCUUAUCUCCAAGACUUUCUGAGUGCAGAGGUGAGGGCCUCUGUCCUGAACUUUUUAACCCAGUGCUACAACCCAAGGGUCUCCAUAGGGGCAGGUAAACGGGGAUUUUAAUCAUUUUAAAUGUCUUAGAAUGAUAUUUUUGGAAAAAGCACUCCUUUUCCUAAGGACUGCGACUCGGUGAACAGAAAGGAGGCUAUGCGGUGUGGCCAGCCAACUCAAGGAGGAUGAAGCAACCUUUGCCUCUAAACUGCCUGGAACUAAAUGUCGAUUUUUCUGACCCCUCCCAGGGAGUGCUGAGUAGUGAUGGUGUUUGGAGGGUCAAAUCCAUUCCCAAUGGCAAAGGUUCCUCACCACUCACCACCGCUACAACUCCAAAACCACUUAUCCCUACAGAGGCCAGCAUCAGGGUCUGGUCAGACUUCCUCAGAGUCCAUCUCCAUCCCCGGAGCAUCUGUAUGAUUCAGAAGUACAACCACGAUGGGUAUGGGGACCCCAGAGGCUUUGAGGCAAGAAACAUGGGUCCCCACCAAUGCAGGAUGAGGCUCUUGAGGCCAUCUUCCCUGCCCUUCC
rnacentral:sRNA from 1 species